UCUUAUGGCCAUACUACCCUGAACACACCCGAUCUCGGAAGCUAAGCAGGGUCAGGCCUGGUUAGUACUUGGACAGGAGGAAUAAUGU
rnacentral:rRNA from 1 species